UGGGGAAUCUACCGCAAUGGACGAAAGUCUGACGGAGCAACGCCGCGUGAGUGAUGAAGGUCUUCGGAUUGUAAAACUCUGUUGUUUGGGAAGAACGGCUCAUAUGUGAAUAAUGUAUGAGAUUGACGGUACCAAACGAGGAAGCCCCGGCUAACUACGUGCCAGCAGCCGCGGUAAUACGUAGGGGGCAAGCGUUGUCCGGAAUUAUUGGGCGUAAAGAGCGCGCAGGCGGUUUGUUAAGUCUACCGUGAAAGCUUACGGCUCAACCGUAACGGGUCGGUGGAUACUGACAGACUUGAGGGCAGGAGAGGAAAGUGGAAUUCCCAGUGUAGCGGUGAAAUGCGUAGAGAUUGGGAGGAACACCAGUGGCGAAGGCGACUUUCUGGACUGUUACUGACGCUGAGGCGCGAAAGCUGGGGGAGUGAACGGGAUUAGGAUACCCCGGGUAAUCCCAGCCGUAAACGAUGGGUACUAGGUGUAGGAGGUAUCGACCCUUCUGUGCCGGAGUUAACGC
rnacentral:rRNA from 1 species